rnacentral:rRNA from 1 species
GGGGAAUCUUCCGCAAUGGACGAAAGUCUGACGGAGCAACGCCGCGUGAGUGAUGACGGCCUUCGGGUUGUAAAGCUCUGUUAAUCGGGACGAAAGGCCUUCUUGCGAAUAGUUAGAAGGAUUGACGGUACCGGAAUAGAAAGCCACGGCUAACUACGUGCCAGCAGCCGCGGUAAUACGUAGGUGGCAAGCGUUGUCCGGAAUUAUUGGGCGUAAAGCGCGCGCAGGCGGAUUAGUUAGUCUGUCUUAAAAGUUCGGGGCUUAACCCCGUGAUGGGAUGGAAACUGCUGAUCUAGAGUAUCGGAGAGGAAAGUGGAAUUCCUAGUGUAGCGGUGAAAUGCGUAGAUAUUAGGAAGAACACCAGUGGCGAAGGCGACUUUCUGGACGAAAACUGACGCUGAGGCGCGAAAGCCAGGGGAGCGAACGGGAUUAGAUACCCCGGUAGUCCUGGCCGUAAACGAUGGGUACUAGGUGUAGGAGGUAUCGACCCCUUCUGUGCCGGAGUUAACGCAAUAAGUACCCCGCCUGGGGAGUACGGCCGCAAGGUUG